UCUGGCUUAUCACCGGCGGUUUCCUUAGAGUUCCCAACUAAAUGAUGGCAACUAAGGACGAGGGUUGCGCUCGUUGCGGGACUUAACCCAACAUCUCACGACACGAGCUGACGACAGCCAUGCAGCACCUGUGCAGGAUCUCCGAAGAGGGGGUCUCGUUUCUGAGACCUUUCCCCUAGAUGUCAAGGCCAGGUAAGGUUCUUCGCGUUGCAUCGAAUUAAGCCACAUACUCCACCGCUUGUGCAGGCCCCCGUCAAUUUCUUUGAGUUUUAAUCUUGCGACCGUACUUCCCAGGCGGCUUGCUUAACGCGUUAGCUCCGCCACAAGAGGGGUCGAUUCCUCUUACAGCAAGCAAGCACCGUUUAGGGCUAGGACUAC
rnacentral:misc_RNA from 1 species